UACGUAGGGGGCAAGCGUUGUCCGGAAUCAUUGGGCGUAAAGGGCGCGUAGCGCCGUGUAAGCUCGACUCGUGAAGAUCAAGGGCUCAACCCUUGAAUGCCGGUGGAUACUGCAGGGCUAGAGUCCGGAAGAGGCGAGUGGAAUUCCUGGUGUAGCGGUGAAAUGCGCAGAUAUCAGGAGGAACACCGAUGGCGAAGGCAGCUCGCUGGGACGGUACUGACGCUGAGGCGCGAAAGCGUGGGGAGCAAACAGG
rnacentral:rRNA from 1 species